rnacentral:rRNA from 1 species
UACGGGGGGGGCAAGCGUUGUUCGGAAUUACUGGGCGUAAAGCGCUCGUAGGCGGCCAACUAAGUCGGAUGUGAAAUCCCCAGGCUCAACUUGGGAACUGCAUCCGAUACUGGAUGGCUUGAAUUCGGGAGAGGGAUGCAGAAUUCCAGGUGUAGCGGUGAAAUGCGUAGAUAUCUGGAGGAAUACCGGUGGCGAAGGCGGCAGCCUGGACCAACAUUGACGCUGAUGAGCGAAAGCUAGGGGAGCAAACGGG